rnacentral:rRNA from 1 species
AACGAACGCUGGCGGCAGGCUUAACACAUGCAAGUCGAACGCACCUUUCGGGGUGAGUGGCAGACGGGUGAGUAACGCGUGGGAAUCUACCCUUCUCUACGGGAUAGCUCCGGGAAACUGGAAUUAAUACCGUAUACGUCCUGAGGGAGAAAGAUUUAUCGGGGAAGGAUGAGCCCGCGUUGGAUUAGCUAGUUGGUGGGGUAAAGGCCUACCAAGGCGACGAUCCAUAGCUGGUCUAAGAGGAUGAUCAGCCACAUUGGGACUGAGAUACGGCCCAAACUCCUACGGGAGGCAGCAGUGGGGAAUAUUGGACAAUGGGCGCAAGCCUGAUCCAGCCAUGCCGCGUGAGUGAUGAAGGCCCUAGGGUUGUAAAGCUCUUUCAGUGGGGACGAUAAUGACGGUACCCACAGAAGAAGCCCCGGCUAACUUCGUG